rnacentral:rRNA from 1 species
UACGUAGGGGGCAAGCGUUGUCCGGAAUUAUUGGGCGUAAAGCGCGCGCAGGCGGCUAUGUAAGUCUGGUGUUUAAACCCAAGGCUCAACCUUGGGUCGCAUUGGAAACUGCAUGGCUUGAGUACAGAAGAGGAGAGUGGAAUUCCACGUGUAGCGGUGAAAUGCGUAGAGAUCGGGAGGAACAUCAGUGGCGAAGGCGGCCAUCUGGGACAACACUGACGCUGAGGCACGAAAGCGUGGGGAGCAAACAGG